CUACGGGUCGCUGCAGUGAGGAAUAUUGCGCAAUGGGGGAAACCCUGACGCAGCGACGCCGCGUGGAUGAUGAAGGCCUUCGGGUCGUAAAAUCCUGUCAGAAGGAAAGAAGUGUAUGGUAGCUAAUAUCUGCCAUACUUGACGGUACCUUCAAAGGAAGCACCGGCUAGCUCCGUGCCAGCAGCCGCGGUAAUACGGAGGGUGCAAGCGUUGUUCGGAAUUACUGGGCGUAAAGCGCGCGUAGGCGGUUUUAUAAGUCAGAUGUGAAAGUCCACGGCUCAACCAUGGAAGUGCAUUUGAAACUGUAUGACUUGAGUAUUGGAGGGGGUAGUGGAAUUCCCGGUGUAGAGGUGAAAUUCGUAGAUAUCGGGAGGAAUACCGGUGGCGAAGGCGACUAUCUGGCCAAAUACUGACGCUGAGGUGCGAAAGCGUGGGGAGCAAACAGGAUUAGAUACCCCGGUAGUC
rnacentral:rRNA from 1 species